GGUACUCGAGUGGCGAACGGGUGAGUAACACGUGGGUGAUCUGCCCUGCACUUCGGGAUAAGCUUGGGAAACUGGGUCUAAUACCGGAUAGGAACCAUCUUUAGUGUGGUGGUUGGAAAGUUUUUUCGGUGUAGGAUGAGCUCGCGGCCUAUCAGCUUGUUGGUGGGGUAAUGGCCUACCAAGGCGGCGACGGGUAGCCGGCCUGAGAGGGUGUACGGCCACAUUGGGACUGAGAUACGGCCCAGACUCCUACGGGAGGCAGCAGUGGGGAAUAUUGCACAAUGGGCGCAAGCCUGAUGCAGCGACGCCGCGUGGGGGAUGAAGGCCUUCGGGUUGUAAACUCCUUUCGCUAGGGACGAAGCUUUGAGUGACGGUACCUAGAUAARAAGCACCGGCUAACUAC
rnacentral:rRNA from 1 species